rnacentral:tRNA from 1 species
GGGUAUUAGCUCAGUCGGUAGAGCACUUGACUUUUAAGGUAGAACACCAGCCUUCCAAGCUGGAUACGUGGGUUCGAUUCCCAUCACCCG